CUGAAGGAAAGCACAUACAGUAUCUGAAAAGCCAGUGAAGAAAAUACAUACAGCAGAUCAUAUGCCUGAGACAUUACUGAAGGCUGGAUCCUGUGAGGUAUUCUGAGAGCAUUCUGACACUUAACGGUGGUGGUCAGAACUUCUGAGGAUUACCCCCAAGUGAGAAACUACUGCACUUCCACGAGUAAAAAUAAGUGUGUUGACAAUUCAUCUCGUACAGUAUGGGAGAUGUUGAUUCUUUCAGCUCUGCUAAUAGUGGAACAGGAGGAACUAAAGCUAUGUUGCAGACACUAACUGGACUACAAUUUCAGCUCUGAGGAAAGAUACAGGAUCAGGAGCGGAUGGACAAACAC